AUGCCUGAGAGCAUGACAUUUUCGUUAAGAAGAAGGCUACUAAGACAGUGCUCGAGUUUACAAAAGCAAGGAAACAAAAAGGAAGCAUGUAAAAAAACUGUUCAUUUUUUUUCGGAACAGACGCCUUUAGAAGCAGAGAGAACAAUGAAGCCUUUCGAAAACAUUGUGGCUGAUUUACGGGAAGAUGUCCAGCAGAUAUGGGAUGGUGUCCAGAAACCCCAGACUCACACAGAUGCUCCACUUAGUGAUUUUUUCAACAUACAAUUUGAGGGACUCUCCAAUUAUGAGGAAAACCCUGAUUUAUUCAAAAACCAGGUUUCCACUUUAAGAAAUUGGUUUCGAAAAUCAAUUGGUCAUGCUGGACCUUCAGGAAAUCAGCAUGGUGUUGUUCCGGCUUCAGGUUUUUCAUAUAGUACAAAUGAAAUUUGGAAGUGCAUUAAAGAGGACAAAGACCUUAAUCUGCCUAAACAUAAAGUUAUGGUGGCUACAGUGCGUUGUGGGCAAAUCAGUAGUGAGAAAGUUGCUAUUUUUAUAGCUGACCAGGAUUGGAAACAUUUUAAGGAGACUGUUCAAAAUUACUACGUUCCCGGGUUUGGGAAGAAGAUCAGCACACUUCUGGAUAGAUGUUUAUCAGAGUAUGAUACGGAAUGCAUUUAUUAUGAUGAUGGUGUCAGAACAUCGAUAAGGCAGCAACUCGAGUCUGAAAUUUUGAAGCUCGUCUAUCCUGCGUACAAAUCUCUUAUGAAGCAUUUGCUGAAUGGAACUUUAAAAGCAUUCGAGGAGUCCUUUCAUAAGGCCCAAAAAAAACAGGAAUUUGAAGUUGCUGCUCGUGAUUGUACUCAAUCAUUCUUGCAUAAGUUCACAAAAGGAUGUGAAGAUGCUACUAUUCAACAAAUGACAUGGGAUCCUGCAACUUUCAAGAAUAAGCUUAAGCAUGCCAUCGACGCUCAUGUGGAGUCAGUUCGUGUUUUGAAACUGAAAGUGGCAGAUCUUUGUGGCAGAUCUGAGGGGAGACUUACAAGAGCUCUAGCAGAACAAGUCAAGGAGUUUCUACGUUCAGCUCCAUAUAACGCCUGGGAAGCUAUUAAAACGCUUCUUGUAGCCGAGACAAGAGCUACUGCUGCGGAUCUUGAAGAUGCUCUUUUAGAUUGGAAGGUCGAUGAAGGUACAGUGAAAGAACUGCUUUCAACGCUGGAAAAUCAUGGUAAGAGCGUUGUUGAAUCAAAGGCAAAAGAAGAAGCUGCAACUAUCUCAAUCCGCAUGAAAGACAGAUUCACGAUAUUAUUCAAUGCCGAUAUGUCAGGAGCAAGGAAUGGAAAAGUAGAUAUACAAGCAAUUGCUGAAUCUGCCCGCGAUGAAUGUAUGGUGAUGCUUUGGAUAAUAUCGGCAAUUCGGUUAGAUGGAGACGGUGAUACCUUUGAAAACUUUCGUUCCCUACUAGUACUUGAUAAGAGUUGGCAAUUGGAUCCCCUGGCCUCCAUCUCAAGGAAAAAGGAGCUGAUUCUAAAGGAGGGAACUUUAAUCUCCCUUGACAACUGCAAGUUACUCUGGAGCCAAUUUAUGGUUCACGUUGAUUGCAUUGUCACCCUGGUCCUACUUGCUGAGGGGAGACUUACGAGAGCUCUAGCAGAACAAGUCAAGGAGUUUCUACGUUCAGCUCAAUCUAACACCUGGGAAGCUAUUGAAACACUUCUUGUAUGCGAGACAAUAGCUGCUGCUGCAGAUCUUAAAUAUGAUCUUUUAGAUUGGAAGGUCGAUGAAGGUACAGUGAAAGAACUGCUUUCAACGCUGGAAAAUCAUGGUAAGAGCGUUGUUGAAUCAAAGGCAACAGAAGAAGCUGCAACUGUCUCGAUCCGCAUGAAAGACAGGUUCACGAAAUUAUUCAAUGCCGAUAUGUCAAAAGGACGGAAUGGAAAAGUAGAUAUACAAGCAAUUGUUGAAUCUGCCCGCGAUGAAUGUAUGAUGAUGCUUUGGAUACUAUCGGCAAUUCGGUUAGAUGGAGCCAGUGAUACCUUUGAAAACUUUCGUUCCCUACUACUUCAUAAGAGUUGCCAAUUGGAUACUAUCGGCCAUUCGGAGCUGAUUCUAAAGGCGGGAACUUUAAUCUCCUCUGACAACUGCAAGUUACUCUGGAGCCAAUUUAUGGUUCAAGUUGAUUCCAUUGUACCCCAGGUCGUACAUGCUGAGGGGAGACUUAUAAGAGCUCUAGCAGAACCAGUCGACGAGUUUCUACGUUCAGCUCGAGAUAACACCUGGGAAGCUAUUAAAACGCUUCUUGUAAGCGAGACAAUAUUUGCUGCUGGGGACCUUAAAUGUGCUCUUUUACAUUUUGAGCCCAAUGAAGGUACAAUGAAAGAACUACUUUCAAGGCUGGAAAAUCAUGGAAGGAGCGUUAUUAAAUCAAAGGCAAAAGAAGAAGCUGCAACUGUCUCAAUCCGCAUGAAAGACAGGUUCGCAAAAUUAUUCAAUAAUGAUGCCCCUAUAUCAAGAGUACAGAAAGAAGAAGUAGAUAUAAAAGCAAUUGCUAAAUCUGCACAGGAUGAAUGUAUGAUGAUGCUUUGGAUAAUAUUGGCAAUUCGGUUAGAUGGAGAGGGUGAUACCAUUGAAAACUUCCGUUCCCUACUACUUGAUGAAGGGCCUCAGACGACAGAUAAGAGUUACCAAUAUGAUCCACUGUCCUCCAUCUCAUGGAAAAUGGCGGGAACUUUAAUCUCCCCUGUCCAGUGCAAGUCACUCUGGAGCAAAUUCAUGGUUGAAGUUGAUUCUAUUGUCAAACCGGCCCGAGAUGCUCAGUUCAAGAGAAGGAUUCGGGAUGUAUUGUUACUUCUUAGAGUGGCAGUCAGCUUGGGGACUGGCAUGCCUAUACCUUUUUGA
rnacentral:rRNA from 1 species